CACUAUUAGGAGGUGUGGCCCUGUCGGAGGAAGUGCGUCACUGUGGGGGAUGGGCUUUGAGGGCUCCUGUGCUCAGGCUUUGUCCAGUGUGGAAUCCAGUCUUCUCCUGGCUGCCUUUGGAUCAAGAUGUAGAACUCUUGGGUCCCCCAGCACCAUGUCUGCCUGCAUGCUGCCAUGUAAUAGACUGAAUCUCUGAGUCUGCAAGCCAGCCCUAAUUAAAUGUUUUCCUUUAAAGGAGGUGUCUUGGUCACAGUGUCUCUCCACAGCAAUGAAACCCAAGCUGAGGCAGAGCUCCACUCCCCGGAGGCUAAGCAUUCAAACACAUGAGCCCAUGGGGCCAUUCCUAUUCAACUACCAUCUCGGCACAUGACAGUUACAGCCGACUGUUAAGUAGGGAAGGGUUUGGGACUGCAAUCGAAUCUCAGCAUAGCCUUGGCCUAUGUUGUCUUCCCUUUUACUACAAGUGCAGGGGCUGUAUUUGUGCCUAGGACCCGGCUCGGUGUCUAGAAAAGGAAUGCUUAACAAAUGAGUGAGGAAAUGAAGAGAGGUCUCAGAGUGCCACCUUUCCUCCCUCGGACCUAGAAACGAGAUAGCCGGUGAUGGCUGUUUGUGGGUGACAAUCAUGGGAUAGGGUCCCAUGGGAACCUUCUUUAGAGUAAGGAGCUUUAGCUACUAGAAAGAGCUAUCACACACACACACACACUCACACACACUCACACACACACUCACAUACACACACUCCCACACACACGCACACUCACAUAUACACACUCACACACACAUACACACACUCUCACACACACUCACAUACACACACUCACACACACUCACAUACACACACUCACACACACACUCACACACACCACACACACACUCAUACGCCACACACACACCACACACACACUCACAUACACACACUCACACACACAUACACACACUCACACACACAUACACACACUCACACACACGUACACACACUCACAUACACACACUCACACACACACUCACACACACACUCACAUACACACUCACACACACACCACACACACCACAAACACUCACUCUCACACACACACACUCACAUACACACACUCAUACACACCACACACACUCACUCUCACAUACAUACACUCACAUACACACAUUCACACACACAUACAGUCACACACACACUACACACACUACACACACAUACACACACACACACACACACACAAGCUCUUGGUGGCUCAUGAAAUUCUCUUAGCAAAAUUUGUUGCCUUAUGGUUCCCUUAAUAUCUCUCUCUCUGUCUCUCUCUCUUUGUCUGUCUCUUUCAUUUACUUAGAGAACAACUGGAAAAAAUACAUACAAAGCUAUCAAAAUUACCUUUAAAAGGUUGGGAUAGGAAGCGGGGGUGGGGAGGGCAAACACGGAACUGGGAACUAUUGGGCCCUGCUGAUAUAUUACCUUUUCAAAAGUUAAAUAAGGGACUGGCAGAAGUGGCUCAGAAGGCGAGGGUACUUGUCGCUAAACCUGAUGACCUGAGUUUGACCCCUAGAACUCACACUGUGAAGAAAAGAAAGUUGUCAUCCGAUCUCCACAGGCGUGCUGGGGCAUGUCUUCAUGAACACAUGUGCAGAGACACAGACACAGAUACACACACUCACUAAAACAAAUAUUUUAGAAGGAGGAAGAAAAUAGUCGUAAGAUGUAAACCUACCACCAGCCAUUAUCAGCUCUCCGCAGCCGUGGGAGGGUUUCCCUUUGGGGUGGGUGAUUGGGGUUAGCUCUGGUGGGUGGUUCUGAGUAGCCUUCCAUCAGCUUGGCACUCAACUAGAGUUAUCUGAAAGGAGGGAACCCCAGUUGAGGAAAAUGUCUCAAUAAGAUCUCGGUGUAAGGCAUUUUCUUAAUCAGAGGUUGAUUGGGAAGGCCAGCCCAUUGUGAGGGAUGCCGCCCCCUUGAUGUGGUGGUCCUGGGUUCUAUAAGAGAGCAGGGGGAGCAAGCCAGUAAGCAGCACCCCUCCAUGGGCUCUGCAUGAGCUUCUGUCUCCAGGGUCCUGCCCUCUGUGAGUUCCUGUCUUGACUUCCUACAAUGAUCAAUGGUGAUGUGAACGUGUAAGCCAAAUAAACCCUUUCCUCCCCAACUUGCUUUUCGGUCAUUGUGUUUUGUCACAACAAUGGAAACCCUAACUAAGAAAGGUUGUGUGUCCUUGCAAGGCUGGCGGGGCUUCCUGUGUUGAUCGAGGAAAGAGAGGUAGAAAGGGGUGCAGAGGCUAAGGGAUUAUCUAGAGGGAUCUGUUUUGGGUAAGGAAGGUCACAAGCAAAAGGGAAUGGAAUUAGGCAGGCCUAAGAGAAGGGAUAGCAGUAAAGACACUCUGGUCCUGACUGGCCUUCAUUUCCAAGACUGUUUAUCUUACAGCAUCAUAUAUCAACUGUGUCUAGAAGUGUGCCCCGGUAGCCUUCUGAACCUGUGCAUGCCUCGAUAAAAUGGAGAGGCUGGAAUAAUAGCCUGGGCUAGUGUGACUUCCAGGUCCGGUGUUCUUUCCAGGUACUAAUCUUCUCUCCACGGUUCCUCUGUGAAGUUCCAGCCCCAUUCAGAAAAGUCGUGAAAUGUCACCAGCCAUCUAGUAAGUACCUUGGGACGCGUGGAGUGGAAGCACCAAGAGCUGGAGUCAAAGCAUCUCUCAAGGGCAUUCACGGUUCCUCCCUGAAUCUAGACAUCUAUGGAGAAAGCAGUGAGCUAGCCUGGUGUAGCCUCCCCUCCCCUCACACAGUGCCUUCCUCUUGGCACUUUCUCAUGGGCUGGAGGCUCUGACAGGUCUGAGAACCUGGACUGCAGACUGUCUGGGGAGAGACUGCUGGCCUUCACCUUAGAGAUUCUCACUGUGAAGGGGGGGACCCCCUCUGAGGAGCACAGUUGUUAGUCACAGGGCGGCAGAUUGAGAUUAGCCAUGUGUAGAGAUGCAGGUGUGGGGUGGUUUUGGGGCAGGCGGCUGUUCUGUGGGGCUGGAGGGUGCUUUUGGGAUCCUGGGUCCAGGAUCUUGUCAGGGUUUAGAAAGCAAGGGCCUUGACUUUAGGGUUUGAUGCCAUGGCAACUGGCUGGAAGCACAGGUACUGAAAGGGACUUAGCUCCUGGCCUCCAGCCCUCCUGUAGGGCAAGAGCAGGAGAAAGAGGCCUUUCAAUCCCUCAAGACCUCUACCCAGUGUUUGUGCUUAUUUCUGUGAAAUCCAGGAUAGACACCAGGUGAGCCGUACUUGUCAUUUGGGGCAGUAAUUUCUGCUUUUCUUUGCAUUGCAUUCUCAGGCACAAAAAUGUGAGAGCAUCAGAUGAUAAGUUAUGGUUUUCUGCAGUAAUUAUAAAACCUUAAAAACAAAACCACACCGCCGCACCCUUGGAAUGCGUGUGCUGAACACUCACGUCCAAAGGUCACGAAGACAAGGUUUCCUGGCCUCAGAGGCCCGUCAGCACAACUCUGCCAGGGCCAGCAUCUCAGUCUCCAUUCACUUCUUGUAAUUGAGGAGUUACCUUAAUGUUCCCUCUAGGUCUCCCUAGAGUCCCUGAAGUGCUGCAGGGAGCAGAUUGGUCAGGUAACUUGUCCCAUUUUUUUUCCAUGGCGGCUACAGGGACAUCUGGGCAGAAAGCAUCAUCAAAGUCCUUCACAAGGCUUGGGAGAAGGUGAUGCUUAUUCUUUGUAAACAGUGUGGAUUAGAAUAGGACAUUUCGCCCAGAGGAAAAAUAACAGCCCCUUGUAAGAGCAGCAGGUGGGAUCUGAUGGGAAACAACAACCAAAACAAAAACAAAAACAAAAUGGGCGUUUUAGAACUGUAAGCACUUUCCCCAAGAGAGCAAAGCCUGAGGAAGAUGUGGUCCUUGGUGCAGGUCUGCCCCCUACAGGCCAGAUUCUCAAUUCACUGGUUAAGUCUGCAGGGCUCGGAACCAUAGGUUCCUGCCCCUGAUGGCGCCCCGUGGCUGCUCUUUUUCACUGUGACACGUUGUCCCCAGGUAAAGUCCCUCCAGGGCCUCCCUCUUUUGACCGCUCCCUCAUCUAGGAACAUAACCUGGUGACUCAGCCGCACGCCCGCUGUGUAAGAAUAAUUUUAGACUAUGAAAGAGGAAGUUUUAAGAGACAUGCUUUCCUUUUCCUGUCUGGGAGUAGUGUGUAUUUCUAGCUCCCACUUUCACAUGUAGCAAGGCAGUUUCCAUUCUGGCCCCAUUAGAGUCAGAGAUGAUCUGUCCAGAUUUGACCUCCUAGGUUUAACACAGUGCGAUGCUUCAAGUCUGCCUGCGGAUUCUAAUGUCUGGUUAUGACGGAGUCAAAGACACCGGACCUAAAAGACCAGUUAUGAUCCAUCUUUUGGAAAUGACCUGUGCUACUCAGCCCUGCCCGUCUGAUCACUAGUGCCCCGGGGCUCUCUUGCUGCACACCUGGUACAGAAUGAUAAGCAUUUAAACACGUUCAUUUGUGCUUUAAGUGCUCCCUUCAAAUGGGCCAUGUUGGGCCUCCUGCUAUCAGAUGACGCUUGGUGGGCCCAAAAUCUUGGUGUGGUGGUUUGAAUAUGCUUGGCCCGGGGAGUGGCACUAUUAGGAGGCGUGGCUUUCUUGGAGUAGGUGUGGCCUUGCUAGAGGAAGUGCAUCACUGUAGGGGUGGACAAUGAGACCCUCCUCCUAACUGGGAGUGAGUUUUCUCCCAGUGGCCUUCAGAUGAAGAUGUAGAACUCUCAGCUCCUCCUGCACCUUGACUACCUGGAUGCUGCCAUGUUCCCUGCUUCAUGAUAAUGGACUGAACUUCUAAACCUGUUAUUUUACCUCAAUAUAAGUAUGAGCUAGGUCUGGUUUCCAAGGAUUUUGGAUGCUGUGAAGAACACAGAAUUCCAUGGCAGACUGACUUUACAAAUUAAGUAGUCAUGACAACCAAGUCUGGUGGUUAAGCUAUUGACAUCUUCAGAAGCAAGUUGUCACCUAAAAAAAAUCAUCGGAGUGAUCUCCAAUGUUCCUGAUCACUCCAAGUGCUAUCAGUUUCUCCAGAACUUCUAUUACCCGUCUAAGUCAACUGAAGCGUAAUAAUACGAUUCUGACCAGGGAAACAGUGUCCACACCUAUCUGGAUCCCAGAAGAAUUUCUUACCAGGCAACACACAACCACUACACUCUCCUGAGAACCAGAGAGGGCAACAAAAGCCAAGGAACAAAAUACCUACCCAACAAAGACAAGACCAGAAAUCAGCACCUAGAAUUACAAUCCUCCCGAACUGAGAUGCCUAGAUGCUAGUGAAAAAGCACUAUACCAGCCAGGACAAUAUUUCCCCAACAGAGUCCGGCAACCCUACACACAGCAGGCCCUGAGUAUUGCAAUACAGCAGAAGCACAAAAAAGACCUUAAAACAGUCUUUAUGAAUAUAAUAGAGGCCCUUAGAGAGGAAAUGAAUAAAUCCCGUAAGUAAAUCUAUGAAAACAUGAACAGUGAAGGAAAUGAAUAAAACAGGGCAACACCUGAAAGUGGACAUAGAUCCAGUAAAGAGAACCCAACUGAGGGAGAUCUGGGAAAAACAUAGCUCCAACAGGACCCUCAGAGGUAAGCCUUACCCAACAGAAUACCAGAGAGAAUCUCAGUCACUGAAGACGAGAUAGAAGAAAAGGAUCUUUUGAUCAAAGAAAAUGCGAAGUCUAAAAAAAUUCAUGGCACAAAGCAUCCAGGAAAUUUGAGACACCAUGAAACGUCCAAACCUAAGAAUAACAGGAAUAACGGAAGGAGAAGAAACAUAGGUGAAAGGCACAGAAAAUAUUUUCAACAUAAUCACGGAAGAAAAUUUGCUUCACCUAAAGGAGGAGAUCCCUACUCAAGUACAAGAAACACGAAGAACACCAAGUAAUACUACACGAGAAAAGAAAGUCCCCUUGGCAUAUAACAAUCAAAACACUAAACACACCGAACAAAGAAAGAAUAUUAAAAGUUACAAGGGAAAAAGGUCAAGUAACAUAUGAAGGCAGACCUAUGAGAAUUAUACCUAAAAGCCAGAAGGACCUGAAAGGGUAUUCUAGAGACCCUAAGAGACCACAUAUGCCAGCCCAGUCUACUAUACCCAGCAUAAAUUUCAUUUAUCAUAGAUGGAGAGAAUAAGACAUUCCAUGGUAAAAUCAAAUUUAAGCAAUAUAUAUCUACACGUGCAGCCCUCCAGGACAUGUCAGAAGGAAAAUACUAACCCAAAGAGCUUAACAUACCCAAGAAAACACAGGAUAAAUAAUCCCAGACCAGCAAAAUUGAGAAACCCACAUACACACACACACACACACACACACACCCACCCACCACCACCACCACCACCACCACCACCACCACCACCACCACCACCACCACCACCACGACUACCACUACCAAAUAGGAAUCAACAAACACUGCUUAUUGCUCAUGGAUAUAUUUUAACAUCAGUAGACUUAAUCCCCCAAUAAAAAGAUAUAAACUAACAGAAUGAAUGUGAAAACAGAGUCCAUCCCUUCUGCUGCAUCCAAAACAAAACACCUUAAACAUCAAAGGUAGACAUUACCUCGAGGUAAAAGAAUGGACAAAGAUAUUCCAAGCAAAUGGACCUAAGAAGCAAGCUGGUGUAGCCAUUUUUAUAUCUGUCAAAAUGACUUCGACAACAAUCAGAAGAUAGGGAAGGAUGCUACAUUCUCACCAAAAGAAAAAUCCACUCUGAGGACACUGCCAUUCUUAACAUGUGUGUACCAAAACCAAGGCACCCAAGUUCGUAAUUCACACAUUGAUCACACACUAAUAGUGUAGACUUCAGUGCCCACUCACACUCACAGACAGGCCAUCCAGAGUGGAACAGAGCACUGCUCGAGCUAACAAUGGACCAAAUGGACCUAACAUACUUAGAGAACCUAUCACCCGAAUCUACCAUCUUCCCAGCCCCUCAUGGAACAUUCUCCAAAACUGACCAUAAACUCAGUUACAAAUCAAGUCUCAACAGAUACAAGAAAUCAAAAUAACGCCCUGUAUAUGAUCUGACCGCCAUGGAUUAAAACUGGAUAUCAACAUCAACAGAAAGCUUAUGAGGUCAUAGAAACUGAACAACUCACUACUGAAUAAAAACCAGGUCAGGAUAGAAAUCAGGAAAGAAACGGAAGACUUUCUGGGCUUGAGUGGAAGUGAAAACAACGCAUCCGAACUUACAGGACAAUAGACAUGGCUCAGAGUGGUAACCCACAGCGCUGAGUGCCUACACAAAGGAACAUACUAGCAACCCUGAAAUCUCUUCAGCAAAAAGAAAUCACACCCGAGAGGAGUAGAUGGCAAGCGGGCAAAAUACCCAUGCACAUAAAAUAAUCACCCUAAGAAAAAGGUUACAUUAAAAUGUGCUUUUGAGGACUGAGAUAACAAA